UACGUAGGGUGCAAGCGUUGUCCGGAAUUAUUGGGCGUAAAGAGCUCGUAGGCGGUUUGUCGCGUCUGCUGUGAAAACUCGGGGCUUAACCCCGGGCCUGCAGUGGGUACGGGCAGACUAGAGUGCGGUAGGGGAGGCUGGAAUUCCUGGUGUAGCGGUGAAAUGCGCAGAUAUCAGGAGGAACACCGAUGGCGAAGGCAGGUCUCUGGGCAUUAACUGACGCUGAGGAGCGAAAGCAUGGGGAGCGAACAGG
rnacentral:rRNA from 1 species